AGUGGAAGCGUCUGGAAAGGCGCGCGAUACAGGGUGACAGCCCCGUACACAAAAAUGCACAUGCUGUGAGCUCGAUGAGUAGGGCGGGACACGUGGUAUCCUGUCUGAAUAUGGGGGGACCAUCCUCCAAGGCUAAAUACUCCUGACUGACCGAUAGUGAACCAGUACCGUGAGGGAAAGGCGAAAAGAACCCCGGCGAGGGGAGUGAAAAAGAACCUGAAACCGUGUACGUACAAGCAGUGGGAGCACGCUUAGGCGUGUGACUGCGUACCUUUUGUAUAAUGGGUCAGCGACUUAUAUUCUGUAGCAAGGUUAACCGAAUAGGGGAGCCGAAGGGAAACCGAGUCUUAACUGGGCGUUAAGUUGCAGGGUAUAGACCCGAAACCCGGUGAUCUAGCCAUGGGCAGGUUGAAGGUUGGGUAACACUAACUGGAGGACCGAACCGACUAAUGUUGAAAAAUUAGCGGAUGACUUGUGGCUGGGGGUGAAAGGCCAAUCAAACCGGGAGAUAGCUGGUUCUCCCCGAAAGCUAUUUAGGUAGCGCCUCGUGAAUUCAUCUCCGGGGGUAGAGCACUGUUUCGGCAAGGGGGUCAUCCCGACUUACCAACCCGAUGCAAACUGCGAAUACCGGAGAAUGUUAUCACGGGAGACACACGGCGGGUGCUAACGUCCGUCGUGAAGAGGGAAACAACCCAGACCGCCAGCUAAGGUCCCAAAGUCAUGGUUAAGUGGGAAACGAUGUGGGAAGGCCCAGACAGCCAGGAUGUUGGCUUAGAAGCAGCCAUCAUUUAAAGAAAGCGUAAUAGCUCACUGGUCGAGUCGGCCUGCGCGGAAGAUGUAACGGGGCUAAACCAUGCACCGAAGCUGCGGCAGCGACGCUUAUGCGUUGUUGGGUAGGG
rnacentral:rRNA from 1 species